GACGAACGCUGGCGGCGUGCCUAAUACAUGCAAGUCGAACGAGAGCGACCGGUGCUUGCACUGGUCAAUCUAGUGGCGAACGGGUGAGUAACACGUGGGUAACCUGCCCAUCAGAGGGGGAUAACAUCCGGAAACGGAUGCUAAAACCGCAUAGGUCUUCGAGCCGCAUGGCUUGAAGAGGAAAAGAGGCGCAAGCUUCUGCUGAUGGAUGGACCCGCGGUGCAUUAGCUAGUUGGUGAGGUAACGGCUCACCAAGGCCGCGAUGCAGAGCCGACCUGAGAGGGUGAUCGGCCACAUUGGGACUGAGACACGGCCCAAACUCCUACGGGAGGCAGCAGUAGGAAAUCUUCCGCAAUGGACGCAAGUCUGACGGAGCAACGCCGCGCGAGUGAAGAAGGUUUUCGGAUCGUAAAACUCUGUUGUUAGAGAAGAACAAGUGCUAGAGUAACUGUUAGCGCCUUGACGGUAUCUAACCAGAAAGCCACGGCUAACUACGUG
rnacentral:rRNA from 1 species